rnacentral:misc_RNA from 1 species
GUGAAUCAUCGAAUUUUUGAACGCAAAUUGCACUCUCUGGUAUUCCGGAGAGUAUGCCUGUUUGAGGGUCAGUUUAAAUAAAAAUCGGUGUGUUUGCUGCUUUCUGUGGUGACGCACGGGAUUUGUGUCGUCUUGCCUUCGGUUAAGUGACCUUAAUUUUUACAUGUCUUUUUUUGUUUGUAUUUUA